AUUGCACGCUGGCGGCAGGCCUAACACAUGCAAGUCGAACGAGUGGCGGACGGGUGAGUAAUGUCUGGGAAACUGCCUGCUGGAGGGGGAUAACUACUGGAAACGGUAGCUAAUACCGCAUACCAUCAGAUGUGCCCAGAUGGGAUUAGCUUGUUGGUGGGGUAACGGCUCGCAACGGCGACGAUCCCUAGCUGGUCUGAGAGGAUGACCAGCCACACUGGAAAUGAGACAAGGUCCAGACUCCUACGGGAGGCAGCAGAGGGGAAUAUGGCACAAUGGGCGCAAGCCUGAUGCAGCCAUGCCGCGGGUAUGAAGAAGGCCUUCGGGUUGUAAAGGACGUUCAGCGGGGAGGCGUUACCCGCAGAAGAAGCACCGGCUAACUCCGGGCCAGCAGCCGCGGUAAUUC
rnacentral:rRNA from 1 species